rnacentral:rRNA from 1 species
UCAAGUGACUAAGAGCAUAUGGUGGAUGCCUUGGCGAUUACAGGCGAUGAAAGACGUGAUAGCCUGCGAAAAGCUUCGGGGAGCUGGCAAAUAAGCUUUGAUCCGGAGAUGUCUGAAUGGGGAAACCCACCCGCAAGGGUAUCAACAGCUCAAUACAUAGGCUGUUGAAGCGAACCUGGAGAACUGAAACAUCUAAGUACCCAGAGGAAAAGAAAUCAACCGAGAUUCCGAUAGUAGUGGCGAGCGAAUUCGGAAGAGCCUUCUAGUGAUAGUCGACGAGUUAACAAAACGGCAUGGAAAGGCCGGCCAUAGUAGGUGAUAGCCCUGUAUGUGAAAACUUGUCGGUGGUACUGAGCUAGAGAAAAGUAGGGCGGGACACGUGUAAUCCUGUCUGAAUAUGGGGGGACCAUCCUCCAAGGCUAAAUACUCGUAAUCGACCGAUAGUGAACCAGUACCGUGAGGGAAAGGCGAAAAGAACCCCGGGAGGGGAGUGAAAUAGAUCCUGAAACCGUAUGCUUACAAAAAGUCGGAGCCUCGCGAGGGGUGACGGCGUACCUUUUGUAUAAUGGGUCAGCGACUUACAUUCAGUGGCAAGCUUAACCGAGUAGGGAAGGCGUAGAGAAAUCGAGUCCGAAUAGGGCGUUUUUAGUCGCUGGGUGUAGACCCGAAACCAAGUGAUCUAACCAUGGCCAGGAUGAAGGUGCCGUAACAGGUACUGGAGGUCCGAACCGACUGAUGUUGCAAAAUCAGCGGAUGAGCUGUGGUUAGGGGUGAAAGGCUAAACAAACUUGGAAAUAGCUGGUUCUCUCCGAAAACUAUUUAGGUAGUGCCUCAAGUAUUACCUGCGGGGGUAGAGCACUGUUUUGGCUAGGGGGUCAUGGCGACUUACCAAACCAAGGCAAACUCCGAAUACCGCAGAGUACAGCUUGGGAGACAGAGCACCGGGUGCUAACGUCCGGACUCAAGAGGGAAACAACCCAGACCGCCAGCUAAGGUCCCUAAAAUUGGCUAAGUGGGAAACGAAGUGGGAAGGCUAAAACAGUCAGGAUGUUGGCUUAGAAGCAGCCAUCAUUUAAAGAAAGCGUAAUAGCUCACUGAUCGAGUCGUCCUGCGCGGAAGAUGUAACGGGGCUAAGCCAGUUACCGAAGCUGCGGAUGUGCAAUUUAUUGCACGUGGUAGGAGAGCGUUCUGUAAGCCUGUGAAGGUGUCUGGUAACGGAUGCUGGAGGUAUCAGAAGUGCGAAUGCUGACAUGAGUAGCGUUAAAAGGGGUGAAAAGCCCCUUCGCCGUAAGCGCAAGGUUUCCUACGCAACGUUCAUCGGCGUAGGGUGAGUCGGCCCCUAAGGCGAGGCAGAGAUGCGUAGCUGAUGGGAAACAGGUCAAUAUUCCUGUACCGAUCAAUAGUGCGAUGUGGGGACGGAGAAGGUUAGCUCAGCCACCUGUUGGAAUAGGUGGUUCAAGCGUGUAGUCGUGCCUGGUAGGCAAAUCCGCCGGGCUUAGAUGAGGCGUGAUAACGAGUGUGCUUGCACACGAAGUGAGUGAUACCCUGCUUCCAGGAAAAGCCACUAAGCUUCAGCUAUUGAUUGACCGUACCGCAAACCGACACUGGUGCGCGAGAUGAGUAUUCUAAGGCGCUUGAGAGAACUCUGGAGAAGGAACUCGGCAAAUUGAUACCGUAACUUCGGGAGAAGGUAUGCCCUCGGUAUGUGAAGUUGAACAAACGGAGCAGAAAAGGGUUGCAAAAAAUCGGUGGCUGCAACUGUUUAAUAAAAACACAGCACUCUGCAAACACGAAAGUGGACGUAUAGGGUGUGACGCCUGCCCGGUGCUGGAAGAUUAAAUGAUGGGGUGCAAGCUCUUGAUUGAAGUCCCAGUAAACGGCGGCCGUAACUAUAACGGUCCUAAGGUAGCGAAAUUCCUUGUCGGGUAAGUUCCGACCUG